rnacentral:rRNA from 1 species
CGAACGGGUGCGUAACACGUAGGAAUCUACCUAACUGUGGGGGACAACUCGAGGAAACUCGAGCUAAUACCGCAUAAGCCCUAAGGGGGAAAGCGGGGGAUCUUCGGACCUCGUGCUGUUAGAUGAGCCUGCGGCGGAUUAGCUUGUUGGUGAGGUAAAGGCUCACCAAGGCGGCGAUCCGUAGCUGGUCUGAGAGGAUGAUCAGCCACACUGGGACUGAGACACGGCCCAG